ACAUAAAGGAGGACAGAGAAUCUUUGAUCAGUGGUCCCCUGCACGCCACACACUGGGGAUGGAGCCUGCAAUCCAGGCAUGUGCCCUGACAGGGAUCGAACCUCGAGCUCCUGGUUUAUAUGUCAAUGCUCAACCACUGAGCCAUGCUGGCCAAGCAAGGAAGCUGUGUGUGCAGGCACCGUUGCAGGCUUUGGGUGUACAAAAGUAAAGAAGAAAGGCAGCAUGCAGCUUGUGUGGGGCUCCUCACCUGGUGGAAGAGGCGGAAGUGGGAACCAGAUUACAAAAGUGCGAUGGAAAAGGGCAGGGCAUCACGCCAGCGUGGGACAGAGGGACCCUACCAGGUCAGGAGUCAAGCUCUUAUUUGCACAGAGCUCAGCCCAGCCCCAACUUUGUUCUUCAAUGCUCACUGGCUCUGGAAGGAAAAUGUCUGGUAAGAUUU